GGGUAAUCGGAAUGAAUUUGGAAUAGCAGUUCUCAGUUGAAGCUUGAAAUUUGAAAGGUUUGACCAAAAUUUGACUAGUUAGUAUAUGAUCCCGAAUCGGAAUUUUUAUGAUUUGGUUAGCUCCGUUAGGUGAUUUGGGACUUAGGAGCGUGAUCGGAAUGCAUUUUGGAGGUCCGUGGAAGGUUUAGACAUGAAUUGGUGAAAUUGAGAUUUUAGCGUUUCCUGGUUGAUAGGUAAGAUUUUGAUAUAAGGUCAGAAUGGAAUUCCGGAAGUUGCAGUAGUUCCGUUAUGUCAUUUGGGAUAUAUGUGCAAAAUUUCAAGCCAUUCGGACGUGGUUUGGUUGGGUUUUUUUAUCAAAAAAUGGAAUUCGAAAGAUUUUAGAAAGUUUGUCUUGAAUCCGAUGUGUUUUGGUUGAUUUGAUGUUAUUUGAGGAGUUUUGAAGAUUGGAACAAGUUUGGAUAAUAUAUUGGGAUAUGUUUGUGCUUUUGUUUGAGGUCCCGGGGGCCUCGGGGUGAUUCCGGGUGGUUGACGGAAGAAUUUGGAAUUUGAGUUGCAGCUGAAGCUUUUGGUUCUAUCAUAACUGCACCUGCGGUUGGGAGGCCGCAGGUGCGAUGAUCGCAUAUAUGUAAAGCAGCCGCAGAUAUGGCCAAUGUGAAGUCCUUCAGGAACCGUAGAAGUGGUGUCGUGGUCGCACCUGCGGUAGCAUAGGUGCGAGUGUUUAACCGCCGAUGCGGAGAUUUGUCAUUUUUAAUGAAGAUCGUAGAUGCGUUGGAAAAGUCGCAGAAAUGGGACCGCAGAAGUGGUAAUGGGACCACAGGUGCGAAAAUACUUGGGUCAGAAAGUAUAUAAUGUCCUUUCGUGAAAUUUUGCUUAGUUCUCCAUUUUUGAAGACGGGAAGCGAGCUAGGGCAGUGAAUUCAAGGGAGAAUUGAAGGGAAUCGGUUGGGUAAGUUCCCUAAGCUUCAUUACUCAUGUUUAUGAUCAUUUUUCCAUUGUUUAAUCAUGAUAUUAGUGGAAAUUAAGGAAGAAAAUUGAGGGAUUAAGGCUUAAGAUUAAGAGAUAAUUGAGUGGGGAUUUGAGGGGUCAUUUGAGAUCCGAUUUUGAUGUUUUUGAUAUGUAUGAACUCGUGAGAGGAUGAGGAUUCCAUUGAUAUUAAUUUUAUCAGAUUCCGAGAUGUGGGCUCGGAGGCCGGGCUUGAGCAAUUUCGGGAUUUUGAUGUAAAUUGGAUAUUUUCGAGUGAGCUUCGUUCCCAUAGUACAUUUUAAUGAUUAUGUACUGAUUGUGGCUAGAUUUGGAGCAUCCAAAGGUCGAUUUGUGUGAGCAAAGGCAUCACGGGCUAGAGUUUGGACCGGAUCGAGGUGAGUAAUGAUUGUAAAUGAUGUUUUGAGGGUUUGAAACCCCGGAUUGUACAUCGUAGUGAUAUAUUAAAGUGAGACACACGCUUGAUGACGAGCGUGGGGUCGUGCACUAUUGGGGAUUGUGACUUGGUCCGUCCCGAUUGACGAUUUUACCGUGUAUUUGACUGAAAUCUAUUUGCUAUCAUCAUUAUUUGGGCUGAAUACCAUAUUUGGGCUUAGUUCCAACUAUUUAAACCCUUCGGGGAUUUUUGUUGAUAUUUCCUCACUGUUUUGACUUUAAACUUGAACUCAGUCAUGUUAUUUUCCACUGUUUUCAAAACUCAGCCAUGUUUACUUUGCUUUAACACUAGAAAUGAUAUUUCAAAUAAUAUUUUGGGUUGAGCAUCAUGUUUUACUCUUGCCUGAGUGGCUUAUGUGAUUUUUGACUGAGUACGGUCGAGGGCCUGUGUUGUGAGGAUAUCUUUUGGGUCGGGCUGCACGUCGCAGCGGUGAUACACUGAUUUUGAUUAUGAGGCUGAGGGCCUGAGAUAUGUACGUCACGAAGGUGGCUUGUUGAUAUGAGGCCGAGAGCCUAGAGAUGAUGCCACGAGAUGGNNNNNNNNNNNNNNNNNNNNNNNNNAUAGCCCGAGGGGCUAAUAUUGUUCUAUAUGAUUGCUCGAGGGGCUGGUAUUGUUCUAUGUGAUUGCCCGAGAGGCUGGUAUUGUUCUGAGAUAUUGCCCGAGGGGCGGAUUAUUGACACUGUGCCCGAGGGGCGAACCUUAUAUGCUUAUCUUUCUUAUUUGCCUGUCAUUUACCUGUUUAAUUGUGUAUUUGUGCCCAAGGGGAGGAUUUUUUGUGCUUAUCUGCACUAAUUGUUUAGCAUUCAUUUGUGUAACUGUUGAAAAGUCAUUUUCAAAUAAGUUAAACUGAGCUAAGAUGUUUUUAAGAGAUUUUACAGCUCCAUUGUUUUCUUACUGAUUUUGUACUGCUUCUAUACAACAUGUUGAUGCACUUUUCGUGAUUUCUUACCAUUCAGACUUUAGUUAUGCUUAUUACUCACUGAGUUGGAGUACUCACUUUACUCCCUGCACCUUGUGUGCAGAUUCAGGUAUUUCAGAACCCGGUAGCGGAUAUUGGCUGAUUAGAGGAAGAGUCAUCGGAGUUUAGCAAGGUAGUUGCCGGCGUUCGCAGCACUGCUUUUCUCCCUCUUUAUUUCAUUAGUUCGUAUUUUGUACAUUUCAGACUUUUCAGUUGUAUUUAGACCCUACUAGAUGCUCAUGACUUGUCACACCC
rnacentral:lncRNA from 1 species